ACGGCGAGGACGACAGAGCAGCAGAACGCAGUUACAUUACAGGGAAAAGUACUGCUAAUCAGCGAAUUGAAAGUUGGUGGGGAGUGAUGAGAAAAGAAGGAAUUGAAUACUGGAUUACACUUUUUGGAGAACUCAAGGAUGAAGGACUUUUCACUGGUGAUGUUUUGGACAAAGCUCUAUCGCAGUUCUCAUUCAUGGCAAUUAUUCAGGAAGAGUUAAAUGAGUUACGGGACGUUUGGAACGCUCACCGCAUAAGGCCGUCUAAAAACACCAACGUGCCCUGUGGAAAACCUGACAUCAUGUUCAUGGCACCUCACCUAUGGGGUGUGGAGGACCUGAUUGUUCCACUGACAGAAGACUUAAAUGCUUGUAAAGAAAACUGCAAAUUCUUAAGUUCUGUCCCAUGUGAUGAGGACGUGUUUGAUUUGUGCACCAUCAUAAUGGAGGAAUCAGACUUGCAGUUUCCCUCCACCAGGACACAAGCCCUUGACCUAUAUUUACAUCUUAGAGAUGUUGUGCGUCCACAGAUAAGUGGACAAGAAAAUUAAAUUAUUUACAUUCAUAUUGCUGGAUUCUGUCUAAAAUAAUGCAUUUAAUCCUAUAGUAUUCUGUAUAUACUGUACAUUGAGUAAAUUUGUUUAUUUCUUGCCUGUAAUCAAGCAUGUAUUCUUGUUCAUUUGUCAUUUGAAAAUCUGAAAUUGCACAACAUACUUAGUUUUGUGACAGUUUUUUUAGUAAUAAGGACAGGAUGCUAGCAAUUAUUUCAACUGAAUUUUCUUAUUUUUAAAUGUCUUGUUUGUCAAAAACAGCAUUUCCUAAUGUAAACAUACAGAACAAAUAGAACCAAACUGUCAAAAAAUGAAGAUAUGAAAUACUUUUGUUUUUUGUUCAAAAACAGCAUUUCCUAAUGUAAAGAUACAGUACAAAUGAUAAGAAAAAAUAAAAGAUGAAAUCCCAUUGGUUUUAUCUUAAAGUAAGUUGCAGUAACAGCAUUUGUAGUGUUAUACAACGUGUAUUAAAAAAUGAAUUGGCAAAAUCAAAACAAAAUGGAAUUCCUCAAAAAAAAAAAAAAAAAUAAACAAACAAAAAUAUA